AACGAACGCUGGCGGCAUGCCUAACACAUGCAAGUCGAACGAGACCUUCGGGUCUAGUGGCGAACGGGUGCGUAACGCGUGGGAACCUGCCCUUAGGUUCGGAAUAACUCCCCGAAAGGGGUGCAAAUACCGGAUAAUGUCUUCGGACCAAAGAUUUAUCGGCUUUGGAUGGGCCCGCGUUGGAUUAGCUAGUUGGUAGGGUAAAAGCCUACCAAGGCGACGAUCCAUAGCUGGUCUGAGAGGAUGAUCAGCCACACUGGGACUGAGACACGGCCCAGACUCCUACGGGAGGCAGCAGUGGGGAAUAUUGGACAAUGGGCGAAAGCCUGAUCCAGCAAUGCCGCGUGAGUGAUGAAGGCCUUAGGGUUGUAAAGCUCUUUUACCCGGGAUGAUAAUGACAGUACCGGGAGAAUAAGCUCCGGCUAACUCCGUG
rnacentral:rRNA from 1 species